rnacentral:rRNA from 1 species
UACGUAGGGUGCAAGCGUUGUCCGGAAUUACUGGGCGUAAAGAGCUCGUAGGUGGCUCAUGAAGGCUGUGGUGAAAGUCCGGGGCUCAACCUCGGAUCGGCCGUGGCGACUCGUGGGCUGGAGCACUGUAGAGGCGGGUGGAAUUCCGGGUGUAGCGGUGAAAUGCGUAGAUAUCGGAAGGAACACCAGUGGCGAAAGCGGCUUCCUGGUCCAGCACCGACGUUCAGGCACGAAAGCGUGGGGAGCAAACAGG